GACGAACGCUGGCGGCGCGCUUAACACAUGCAAGUCGAACGGAAAGGCCUGCUUUCCCUUGUGGAUUGCGGGUACUCGAGUGGCGAACGGGUGAGUAACACGUGAGUGAUCUGCCCCCAACUUGGGUAUAAGCCUGGGAAACUGGGUCUAAUUCCCGAUAGGACUGCAGGGUGGUGCCUGUGGUGGAACACGAUUUUCUAGUGGUUGGGGAUGAGCUCGCGGCCUAUCAGCUUGUUGGUGGGGUAAUGGCCUACCAAGGCGGCGACGGGUAGCCGGCCUGAGAGGGUGGACGGCCACAUUGGGACUGAGAUACGGCCAAGACUCAUAAGGGAGGCAGCAGUGGGGAAUAUUGCACAAUGGGCGGAAGCCUGAUGCAGCGACGCCGCGUGGGGGAUGACGGCCUUCGGGUUGUAAACUCCUUUCGACCGCGAGGAAGCCACCUGGUUGGAAGGGUGGUGACGGUAGUGGUAGAAGAAGCACCGGCUAACUACGUG
rnacentral:rRNA from 1 species